UUCCCUGAACCAUCGCUUGGAUGAUGAAGCACAUCGCAGAGCACUGCUUCAUCACCAUUCAGGAAUUGUACCCUUUUAAAUUUCUAUAUGGGUAUGCGCUGCUUUUGACACAGCUUUUGUUGUAAGCAGGCACUAAAAUAGAAGCUUAUAAUUAGCUAUCUGGGGAGGCAAGUGUGUGGUAGAACAGAGCUCAGCAAGAGAAAAGUCAAGGCAGGUCCUGGGGAAACACUGCAUGGAAGAUGAGUAAUACAGAAGCCCAAGAGUGGAUUGGCAGGAAGGGUGCAGGACCUAACCCAAUGACAAUGCUCGCGGGAGGAGCCCUCCAGAAGUCAACAUGGAAAUAAAGCUCCAUACAUAACUCAGUACUAGUAGAUCAGCAUGUUAACUAGGUUAAUUCACAACUGUCCUACCACCAACUACCUAGCACGAGGCUCUCAACAACCUGCAGCCAGAUCCCAGGUGGUCCCAGUGGCUGCAUUCAUUGAAUACAGCCUGAGCAAUACUCUCACUCCACUCUUCACUCUGCUGAGCCUGUAUUCUGUGAAUUCAGCGCUAGCUCCAAACCUCUUAGUACAAAGGAACUCUCUACGUUUAGUUCUCUCGACAACUACCUACUACAAGAUGAAGUUUCCAGGAACUCAUGUGAUCAUGAGACUCUGCAGUCACUUCAGGGGGUCUUGUUGGCUGGCUCGGGGGCUGGUGUCAAGCCCAAGCAGAAAAGAGCCCUCAGAACAAGCAGCCCUGCUGUGGAUUCUGGACGGCAUCAUCACCAGGCAGGUCCUUCAGAGUACUGGGAGCAGCAUGCAGCCCGAUAGAGUUGGCAAACAUGAAUCUACUAGAAGAUUGACAUGGAGAUCAAGUAGGUAUUCGUUUUAUUAAUAUUCCGUCAUCAGACUGUCUUUACAAAUAUCUACUUUCAUUUUGACUCUUCCCCAGGUGGUAGGACUUCAUAAUGUGUUACAUAGCGCUUGAUGUUCAAAUGCAAAUGUC
rnacentral:lncRNA from 1 species